rnacentral:tRNA from 1 species
CGCGUCGAAGUGGUCGGCGUCAUCGGCGUCGAAACCGUCGGCGUCGAAGGGUUCGACGCCCUCCGGCUCGG